rnacentral:rRNA from 1 species
CCUACGGGAGGCAGCAGUGAGGAAUAUUGGUCAAUGGCCGCAGGGCUGAACCAGCCAAGUCGCGUGAGGGAUGACGGUCCUAUGGAUUGUAAACCUCUUUUGUCAGGGAGCAAAGUGCGCCACGUGUGUCGCUUUGCGCGUACCUGAAGAACAAGCAUCGGCUAACUCCGUGCCAGCAGCCGCGGUAAUACGGAGGAUGCGAGCGUUAUCCGGAUUUAUUGGGUUUAAAGGGUGCGCAGGCGGAAUGUCAAGUCAGCGGUAAAAUUUCGGGGCUCAACCCCGUCGUGCCGUUGAAACUGGCGUUCUUGAGUGAGCGAGAAGUAUGCGGAAUGCGUGGUGUAGCGGUGAAAUGCAUAGAUAUCACGCAGAACUCCGAUUGCGAAGGCAGCAUACCGGCGCUCAACUGACGCUCAUGCACGAAAGCGUGGGUAUCGAACAGGAUUAGAUACCCUUGUAGUC